GCCAGGCAUGGUGGCGCCUGCCUGUAGUCCCAGCUACUCAGGCUGAGGCUGGAGGAUCGCUUGAGCCCAGGAGUCCUGAGCUGUAGUGCGCUAUGCCGAUCGGGUGUCCACACUAAGUUCGGCAUCAAUAUGGUGAUCUCCCGGGAGCAGGGAAUCACCAGGUUGCCUAAGGCAGGGUGAACCAGUCCAGGUCAGAAACGGAGCAGGUCAAAACUCCUGUCCUGAUCAGUAGUGGGAUUACCCCUGUGAAUAGCCACUGCACUCCAGCCUGGGCAACGCAGCAAGACCCUGUCUCU
rnacentral:SRP_RNA from 1 species